UUUUUAAAUUGUAUUUUAUUUUCUAGAUGAGAAGCAGAAGUGUGAAGUCUGCACCGCUUGCAGUUCAUGUACUUCCUCUGUGAUGUGGACUAUUGUGCUUACAGUUGCAGUUUUGGGGCGUGUCAUAUCUAUGUAUAAAAUAUAAAGAAAAAAUUAAUCAAGGCCUCCUCAAUUUCAAUCAAAAUAUAAGGUAACAUCACACCACACAGAUCAGAGAUGUAAUGGACUCAGUCUACCGUGGAACUUAUCCUGGAUAUUUUUUAUUUUUUUCUAAGCAACACCAGUCUUGGCUCCUGUGGUUUUCAAGAGAAACAAGACACGGCGUAAGAUGAAGAAAGGUCCUCUUGCAUAAGGCCAUACUUUAUGGAAGGGAACAUCAAAAAAAAAAAAACAUCCUGUGCGGAGCUUGUGACUGUUGGUUUGACCUCAUCGGAUCCGGAUUGUGAAACGUUUCAUCUGUCACCUGUGUGAAUGAGGAUUUCUGGUACUUUACAAAACCUUUUCAGAGAUACAAAAACUGGAUGUUGUUUUCAAAAUCCAGUCGACUGAAAUAUCUGAAGACUUUGUGCUCCUUCAGUUUAAACGAACAUGAUGCUUCUGGUACUGAUGGACUUUAAAACUUGACUCAGCAUGGCAGCUUUUUUAUUUAAUAAAUUGUCAGCUUCUUUGUCCAUGCAUGCAUGUGAAUCAAAUUUUUCUUUGUGAUGUCUGGUUGUUAGGAUGAAUUAUAGCAGUGAUGUGCUCAGUGUGUCACAGUAUUCUCAGCAAUGACAUGUGGUCACAAGUCACUGUGAGUGCUGCUUUUGUCAUGUCAAUAGGAAGUGGUCAGUGUUGCCUAGAAAUGGACACGAGCUGUUUCAGCAUAUUCAUCUGUGAGUAAAUACUCACAUUGUAAGACUUCUCCAAACGGCCCAGUUACUUUAUUUUGGAAUUUUUUCAAAGUUUUCUUUAAACAGUGCUUUUCUUUGACUCAUUUGGUCACUUUACAGAAAGAACAUAAGAUGACAAAUCCCAGCAAUACAUAAAAACAACAAAAUACAAGGAAUAUCAGAGUAAUUGUAACUUUUAUAACAUGCUAUUUUGGCCAAAAUACCGAAAUUAUAUAUAUAUAACAUUAUAAGUGGACCUUAUAAAAAAAAA